AUUGAACGCUGGCGGCAUGCCUUACACAUGCAAGUCGAACGGCAGCACGGGAGCAAUCCUGGUGGCGAGUGGCGAACGGGUGAGUAAUAUAUCGGAACGUGCCCAGUCUGGGGAUAACGUAGCGAAAGCUACGCUAAUACCGCAUACGAUCUAUGGAUGAAAGCGGGGGGAUCGCAAGACCUCGCGCGAUUGGAGCGGCCGAUAUCAGAUUAGGUAGUUGGUGAGGUAAAGGCUCGCCGAAGCCGACGAUCUGUAGCCUGGUCUGAGAGGACGACCAGCCACACUGGGACUGAGACAC
rnacentral:rRNA from 1 species